rnacentral:rRNA from 1 species
UACGGAAGGCAGCAGUGGGGAAUAUUGCACAAUGGGCGAAAGCCUGAUGCAGCUAUGCCGCGUGUAUGAAGAAGGCCUUAGGGUUGUAAAGUACUUUCAUCGGGGAGGAAAAACAAAACUAAUAAUUUUAUUUCUUGACGUUACCCGAAAAAGAAGCACCGGCUAACUCCGUGCCAGCAGCCGCGGUAAUACGGAGGGUGCUAGCGUUAAUCAGAAUUACUGGGCGUAAAGAGCACGUAGGUGGUUUUUUUAAGUCAGAUGUGAAAUCCCUGGGCUUAACCUAGGAACUGCAUUUUGAAACUGAAAUACUAGAGUAUCGUAGAGGGAGGUAGAAUUCUAGGUGUAGCGGUGAAAUGCGUAGAUAUCUGGAGGAAUACCUGUGGCGAAAAGCGGCCUCCUAAACGAAUACUGACACUGAGGUGCGAAAGCGUGGGGAGCAAACAGGGAUUAGAUACC